rnacentral:rRNA from 1 species
UACCAGACUCCUACGGGAGGCAGCAGUGAGGAAUAUUGGUCAAUGGGCGGAAGCCUGAACCAGCCAAGUCGCGUGAGGGAAUAAGGCCCUACGGGUCGUAAACCUCUUUUGCCGGGGAGCAAGGGCGGGGACGUGUCCCGGCCCGGAGAGUACCCGGAGAAAAAGCAUCGGCUAACUCCGUGCCAGCAGCCGCGGUAAUACGUAUGGUGCAAGCGUUAUCCGGAAUGACUGGGUGUAAGGGGAGCGUAGACGGUUGUACAAGUCUGAUGUGAAAGCCCACGGCUCAACUGUGGGAGUGCAUUGGAAACUGUAGAACUAGAGUAUCGGAGAGGCAAGUGGAAUUCCUAGUGUAGCGGUGAAAUGCGUAGAUAUUAGGAGGAACACCAGUGGCGAAGGCGGCUUGCUGGACGAAAACUGACGUUGAGGCUCGAAAGCGUGGGGAGCAAACAGGAUUAGAUACCCUUGUAU